rnacentral:rRNA from 1 species
AUGGGCAGCCACCGCGAGCUCCACAUCUGCCACCUCCUCACAGGCGAGCGAGUCCGCCUGCCAGAUGCUCUGAAAUACUACUACGAAGGAAUCAUCUUUGCCGGCGACCUCAUUCUCAGCUUUAAUCGAUACCAUUACCACAACACCGUCCACUACUGCCGCCACUGUCGAGAGGCGCGGUGCGAUGAAGGCUACAGGUUUCGUGACCCGAUUUUCGUGACAGGCACCCUGUACGCAUUGAUCUAUCCAAAUCACUGCCUCGCUGUCAUCGAGCUUGACAACAAUUCCGUGGUAUUGUUGUUUCUUGGAGGUGAACCGAGUGCAGAAAUAGUUCAAAAUUGUUCGAUGUUGAGACUAGCAGAGUGCCGUGGUGAGCUAUUGCUCGUUACUGCUGUGAGUUACCCGGUGGGGUACCAUGUUUUCCAGUGGCAAUCUGAUAAUAGGAAGUGGGUGAGGACUACCACCCUUGGUGGCUGUAGCUUGUUCUUUAAUAUUCUCCAGUUUGCAGGUUGCCUUGGUCCGGAUCAUCCCACAGUUCGAGGGAAUUGCUUGUACAUCAUUAAGUCCAAUGGGCAGUGUAUCAAGUAUUCUCUGGUUGAUGGAUCUUCUCAUGAACUCGUUGUCGACUACCCAGCACGACCACGGGCUUGGGUCCUUCCAAGCAUUUGUUGA